rnacentral:rRNA from 1 species
GCUUAUGGCCAUAUCAGCCUGGGUACGCCCGAUCUCGUCUGAUCUCGGAAGCUAAGCAGGGUCGGGCCUGGUUAGUACUUGGAUGGGAGACCGCCUGGGAAAACCAGGUGCUGUAAGCA